CACCUAUUAAUACACCAUAUAUGUGCCAAUAUGCCACUUGAUAGGGAGACACCACUAGCCCAAUAAUGCACUACUACCACGAGUUGCACAAUCACAUAGUACAUUUAUCUCCGAGCUUUCAAGACAGUGAGUGCUCUGAAAUCUUAUCUGCACAAGCUUGACGACGACGACAAUGGCCAACCAAAACUGACGGCCGGCAUAGUCUCAUGAGCGACGUUAACCCCCGG
rnacentral:lncRNA from 1 species